GGAUGCGAUCAUACCAGCACUAAAGCACCCGAAGUUAAGCGUGCUUGGUUGAGAGUAGUACUAGGAUGGGUGACUCUUGGGAAGUCCUCGUGUUGCAUUCC
rnacentral:rRNA from 14 species